GAUGAACGCUGGCGGCGUGCCUAAUACAUGCAAGUCGAGCGAAUGGAUUAAGAGCUUGCUCUUAUGAAGUUAGCGGCGGACGGGUGAGUAACACGUGGGUAACCUGCCCAUAAGACUGGGAUAACUCCGGGAAACCGGGGCUAAUACCGGAUAACAUUUUGAACCGCAUGGUUCGAAAUUGAAAGGCGGCGUCGGCUGUCACUUAGGGAUGGACCCGCGUCGCAUUAGGUAGUUGGUGAGGUAACGGCUCACCAAGGCAACGAUGCGUAGCCGACCUGAGAGGGUGAUCGGCCACACUGGGACUGAGACACGGCCCAGACUCCUACGGGAGGCAGCAGUAGGGAAUCUUCCGCAAUGGACGAAAGUCUGACGGAGCAACGCCGCGUGAGUGAUGAAGGCUUUCGGGUCGUAAAACUCUGUUGUUAGGGAAGAACAAGUGCUAGUUGAAUAAGCUGGCACCUUGACGGUACCUAACCAGAAAGCCACGGCUAACUACGUGCCAGCCGCUGCUGUAA
rnacentral:rRNA from 1 species